rnacentral:rRNA from 1 species
UACGUAGGGGGCAAGCGUUGUCCGGAAUCACUGGGCGUAAAGCGCGCGCAGGCGGUCAUCUACGUCUGGGGUGAAAGCCCGGAGCUCAACUCCGGGAUUGCCUUGGAUACGGGAUGACUUGAGGAUCGGAGAGGCAAGGGGAAUUCCACGUGUAGCGGUGAAAUGCGUAGAGAUGUGGAGGAACACCUGUGGCGAAGGCGCCUUGCUGGCCGAUUCUGACGCUGAGGCGCGAAAGCGUGGGAGCAAACAGG